rnacentral:rRNA from 1 species
GUCUUUUUGAAAAUAAUUUAAAGUUUAAUCUGCCCACUGAAAAUUUUAAAGGGCUGCAGUAUUUUGACUGUACAAAGGUAGCAUAAUAAAUAGUCUUUUAAUUGAAGACUUGUAUGAAUGAUUUAAUGAGAUAUAAACUGUUUCUUUAUUAAUAAUAGAAUUUAAUUUUUUAGUUAAAAAGCUAAAAUUUUUUUAAAAGACGAGAAGACCCUAUAGAGUUUAAUUUUUUAAUUUUUAUAAUUAUUUUAUAAAAUUUAUAAUUUAUAAAAAUUAAAAAAUUUUGUUGGGGUGAUAGAAAAAUUUAAUUAACUUUUUUUAAAAAUUUAACAUUAAUUUAUGAUUUUAUGAUCCAUAAUUUAUGAUUAUAAGAUUAAAUUACCUUAGGGAUAACAGCGUAAUUUUUUUUUUUAGUUCAAAUAAAAAUUAAAGUUUGCGACCUCGAUGUUGGAUUAAGAUAAAAUUUAAAUGUAAAAGUUUAAAAUUUUGAUCUGUUCGAUCAUUAAAAUCUU